UGGUGCCUUCGGGAACUGUGAGACAGGUGCUGCAUGGCUGUCGUCAGCUCGUGUUGUGAAAUGUUGGGUUAAGUCCCGCAACGAGCGCAACCCUUAUCCUUUGUUGCCAGCGGUCCGGCCGGGAACUCAAAGGAGACUGCCAGUGAUAAACUGGAGGAAGGUGGGGAUGACGUCAAGUCAUCAUGGCCCUUACGACCAGGGCUACACACGUGCUACAAUGGCGCAUACAAAGAGAAGCGACCUCGCGAGAGCAAGCGGACCUCAUAAAGUGCGUCGUAGUCCGGAUUGGAGUCUGCAACUCGACUCCAUGAAGUCGGAAUCGCUAGUAAUCGUGGAUCAGAAUGCCACGGUGAAUACGUUCCCGGGUCUUGUACAC
rnacentral:rRNA from 1 species